AUGGGUUCGGGGCGAUCUAAGUCUCCACCACCAGACUGCAGCAUUACAAAAUUAAUGAGACGUAAAUAUGGUGAUGAGUGCGUGUCAUGUCUUCACGACUGGACAAAACAUUAUGGGUUUCAAGAAGGUGGAUCACUCAGUGUGAAGGACAUACGCGCUUUAAAAGAAAUAUUAGAAGAAAAGGAGAAACAGCUCCGCAAAAGUAGAACGAUCAAAGUUAAAACUUUAGAGGAAAUUGAAUUAAACAAAAGAUGCCUUGAAAUUUGGGUUAAAGAAUCAGAACGCAGGGAAAGAUUGAAAUGCCAAAAAGAGUUAGGAGGGAGAAAGGACGAGAGUGGUGACGUAGCUGGCAGAAAAGAUAACAACUCUGUGGAAGCUCGCACACCGCCACCAUACACACAUACACACACACAACAUGAUGAGAAACAAAGCACUCCCACUGUUUCUGCUUUGUAUCCCUUUGCAGAGCUGAGCGCGGUCAAGGUGAAUCCCGACCUGGACUCCUUCUACGUCAGCAGGAGGGCCGGGCAGGGUGGACAGCAGGACCAACAGCAACAGCCUGACCAACAUCAACUGCCUGCACCACAUCAACAGCUUGACCAACAUCAACUGCCUGCCCCACAUCAACAGCCUGCACCACUGCAACAGCCUAGCCCACACCAACAGCCUGGCCAACCUCUGUCAUCAGGAGCUGCAACAUCAGCUGCAGAGCAGUCAGAGCAUAUGGAGGACAGUGUAAAUGCCACACCAACUCCUGGAAUGGAGGCACAGACGUUCUGGGCCAAUUCACCUGUCGGCUUCAUUCCUACAUCAUCCACUGCCACAAGCUCUGCACCAACUGCUACUACGAGUGCUGCCUCUGCAACUACCAGCGUUCGCACCCUAAGGAGCAACACACCAGUAGCUCCAGAAAUCAGCUUGCCCAUGGUGGAAGUGGCCGGCCCUGAAGGAAGCAUGUUAGUGCACAGACCAUGGACUAGCGCUGACAUAGCUGACUUUGCCCACACUCUUCCAGACAUCACUGUAUCGGGAAAGACAUUCGGUGCCAACCUUCUGGCUUUCUGCCAGGAGUACAGACCCACUGGAGCUGAGAUUCGUCGCAUCCUGGCCAAACGUCUUGCACCUUGUGAAUACCAAAAGCUGGCUAGACAAUUCCCUGAUGUGACACUUGCUCUCAAACACAAAGACUGGACAAACAACUUAAAUGAUGGAUUUGUUGCCGCAGUGAGGACGCUUGUUGCCCACCUCGAAACUGCGUUCCCCGACAAAGUCUGUAUGAUUAAAGUCACUACAUGCAAACAACAACCAGAGGAAUCAGUUUAUGACUUUGUUCACCGCCUCACCACUGCAUACAACACACACGGAGGAGCUCACCCUCCCCCGGAAGGAGUGGGAGGACUCAUCUGUUCAACAUACGAGAGUCACCUGUGUGAACUGGUGAUGAAAGGCUUACUCCCUGAAGUUUUUGACGCCGUGAAGCAGUCAUACAUCGGAUGGAAAGAAGAAGCGCGUCUGUCUGACCUCACAAGACACGCACGCCAUGCUUAUGACACUCUCCAGCAGAAGAAGAUGGCGAAGAAGGAAAAACAACAGAGCGAAUUGUAUCUGCCAUCCUUGGAGAUGUUCUCUGCAAUGCAUAACAACAACAGAGGAGCGGGCAGGUAUCGCGGGCGAGGACGAGGAAGAGACUUCAGACGGAAUUGGCACAACAGAGACACAGGAGGCGCAUCUGGAGAUCCAGGAAACGCCUGCCACAUCUGCGGCGAGAUGGGACACUGGAGGAAGUACUGCCCGCGGCUAGGUCAGGUUCCACCCUCCCGGGCACUCUCGUCAGACUGA
rnacentral:lncRNA from 1 species